GUGCAUGCUGGGCUAUAAUUUAUGAAACGGAGCCCAGGAAACAACCAAUGCCUUAGCUCCUCCUAACAAGUUUAACUAGCUAUGAAAAGCUGGAAGUGCUGCACGGAACAAUGAAGAGGAGCUAUCCCACAUACUAAUCUGCUUAUCUAGGAUUACCUUCUGUGGAGAGAGAGGGAAGCAUGUAACAGGGAGAGAGAAAAAGAGAGAGAGAAAGAGAGAAA
rnacentral:lncRNA from 14 species